UGGCUUAAUGGUUUGAGUCCUAGGCUACAAUUCUGGAGACCAGGGUUCAAAUCCCUG
rnacentral:tRNA from 1 species